UACGUAGGAUCCGAGCGUUGUCCGGAUUUACUGGGUGUAAAGGGUGCGCAGGCGGACUGGUAAGUCAGAGGUGAAAUCUCGUCGCUUAACGACGAAACUGCCUUUGAUACUAUCAGUCUUGAAUCCGGUAGAGAUCUGUGGAAUUCCGAGUGUAGCAGUGAAAUGUGUAGAUAUUCGGAAGAACACCAGUGGCGAAGGCAGCAGAUUGGGCCGGUAUUGACGCUCAGGCACGAAAGCAUGGGGAUCAAACAGGAUUAGAGACCCUGGUAGUCCAUGCCCUAAACGAUGUUCACUUGAUGUCUGCCCUCAGGGCAGGUGUCGAAGCUAACGCGAUAAGUGAACCACCUGGGGAGUACGCUCGCAAGGGUGAA
rnacentral:rRNA from 1 species